rnacentral:rRNA from 1 species
AGAGUUUGAUCAUGGCUCAGGAUGAACGCUAGCUACAGGCUUAACACAUGCAAGUCGAGGGGCAGCAUGUUGGUUGCUUGCAACCAAUGAUGGCGACCGGCGCACGGGUGAGUAACGCGUAUCCAACCUACCCUUGUCCAUCGGAUAACCCGUCGAAAGGCGGCCUAACACGAUAUGCGGUUCACAGCAGGCAUCUAAGGUGAACGAAAUGUGAAGGAGAAGGAUGGGGAUGCGUCUGAUUAGCUUGUUGGCGGGGUAACGGCCACCAAGGCUACGAUCGAGUAGGGGUUCUGAGAGGAAGGUCCCCCACAUUGGGACUGAGACACGGUCCAAACUCCUACGGAAGGCA